CCUAGUCAUACACGUGGACCUAGCAGCACCCGAAGCAUUGCCCAAGGAUACUUGCUGAGAAGGAAGUUUGCCUGAGUGGUAUCUGACAAUGUGGAGGACAGAAGAAAGGGAUUGCUGCCUGGUCAAUGUGAGGCUUUCCUCUAAAGGUAGUACCAAGUCAGACUGCCUUCCUGAUAACAGGUCUCAUUUUGUAGGACCCUUAUUGUGUGUUUUUUGGGGAAGCCUACUGUAAAAGCCAACAUUUUAAUGGGAUUGUAUCUUAUAUUUCUUUAAGGAGUUUUUUUUUUUUUUUUAAGGCUUACAUGUGUCCAAUUUGGAACUUCUGGCUAUUGGCUCCUCCCCUCCCCCCCUUGGGUAUAAGCUGUAAUUGAUGUUUGUGACAGAAUUUAGAGCUUUGGCUUUUUCCUUUUUGUCUAAUUAUUUAUUUCAAAUUUAGCAGGAAUAAAGUGAACCUCACCUUGGGACUGAAGCUGUGACCAGUCAGAAUAAUGUCAAAGUGCUUACAGUGCAGGUAGUGAUGUGUGCAUCUACUGCAGUGAGGGCACUUGUAGCAUUAUGCUGACAGCUGCCUCGGUGGGAGCCACAGUGGGCGCUGCCUCGGGCGGCACUGGCUGCGUCCAGUCGUCGGUCAGUCGGUCGCGGGGAGGGCCUGCUGGUGCUGCGUGCUUUUUGUUCUAAGGUGCAUCUAGUGCAGAUAGUGAAGUAGACUAGCAUCUACUGCCCUAAGUGCUCCUUCUGGCAUAAGAAGUUAUGUCCUCAUCCAAUCCAAGUCAAGCAAGCAUGUAGGGGUCUCUCCAUAGUUGUGUUUGCAGCCCUCUGUUAGUUUUGCAUAGUUGCACUACAAGAAGAAUGUAGUUGUGCAAAUCUAUGCAAAACUGAUGGUGGCCUGCUAUUUACUUCAAGUGUUGUUUUUUUUUAAACUAAUUUUGUAUUUUUAUUGUGUCGAUGUAGAGCCUGCGUGGUGUGUGUGAUGUGACAGCUUCUGUAGCACUAAAGUGCUUAUAGUGCAGGUAGUGUGUAGCCAUCUACUGCAUUACGAGCACUUAAAGUACUGCCAGCUGUAGAACUCCAGCCUCGCCUGGCCAUCGCCCAGCCAACUGUCCUGUUAUUGAGCACUGGUCUAUGGUUAGUUUUGCAGGUUUGCAUCCAGCUGUAUAAUAUUCUGCUGUGCAAAUCCAUGCAAAACUGACUGUGGUGGUGAAAAGUCUGUAGAGAAGUAAGGGAAAAUCAAACCCCUUUCUACACAGGUUGGGAUUUGUCGCAAUGCUGUGUUUCUCUGUAUGGUAUUGCACUUGUCCCGGCCUGUUGAGUUUGGUGGGGAUUGUGACCAGAAGAUGUGAAAAUGACAAUAUUGCUGAAGAUGCCGAUUUCCACUGUAAAAAUGUUCACGAGCUGAUGGAGUGUAUGAACACAUUCUGUAAACUGUGAUUUCUAUUGCUUUCGUUGGUGUGUAAAACGGGAUUUUUUUAAUUGAAAUUUGUGUUUUUAAAUUGUGGUUUGUUUUUACUGAAUCAUUUCAUUUUCGUGUUUGCUCGCUGGAUUUAGUAAGAAGUUGUGUGUGGGGGCUUAGGUGAAGUUAAACUGCCUUUUGAACCUGGUAUGACUUCAGGUUUAUUUUACUCUAAAACCCAUUAACAUGAGUUAAGAAAAAUGUUACUUUCUUUGGAUCUCUGUUUAUUAAAGUGUGACAAUUCAGAUGGAGUGUUUUCUGAUAAGAUUAUUCCUAAUCCGUGAGUUCUUAACAGUUAACAGGUGGUGGCCACUCUGUUAAUGUGCACACCCUGUAAGAAAGAACUAUCCUUGGACUGUUCUUACCAUGUGACCCCCUCAAGGGAAAGAUGGCAAACUGAUGGUCAGUAGAGUGACAGGUACACAUGACACUCGAGUGCUGGGUCUGGAGAAGCUGCAGUUAGUAUUUAGGAUAACAGUAUAUAUAAUAUAUAGUUCUACAUUUGGGCAGCACAGUUGGUUUCAGGCUAUGAAUAAAAAUCAUUGGAGUGAAACCUAAAGAAAAGUAAAAUUAAUAAGGAAGAGCUGCUAAAAUCAGGUUUAAGCUGACACUAUCUACAGAGCUAAAGUUUUCCAUAAUAUGUUGCUUUUUUUAAAAGAAAUGCAAGAAGCUGACUGAUGGAUCCCUGAGCUGCCAGGUAAGGAUUCCACAGGCCUGGGUUUGAUUGUGAGUGACCAGAAUUGUACAAUUAUUACUAAAACAGAAACAUAGUCACUUCUGACUCCAUUCUUAACAUUUUUGGAUUAAAACUUGUUUCAGAUGACUAAUGAAAACUUCCUUUAAAACGUGAUAAAGCUCUAAUGUCAGCACGAUCCACAUGAUCCAUGUGCCUCCUAUAAAGGGAGGGGUCUGUCACCAGUGUUACGGAUUGAAUGCUACGUUUAUCUUCCAACAUAGGAAGCCUGCCAGGUACUUUCUUCAAUAUACUAAAUUAGAAGUUUAAAAUUAAUAAGGUCUUAAUUAGGACCUUUGGAUGCUGAGCUUGUGGUAGUAAUUGUGUUCAGAAUGUUUUGAACUUAAAUUGAGAUUUAAUUUUAGUAAGGAAUGUGUGUCUUAGAGGCCUAGUAGUGAAGAGGAGUUUUCCUAGGAUUUUCCUCUCUCCUCCCUUAAUUAAGCUGCUUUCUGCACUAAGGGCUUCACGCAGCAACGCACUUGUUCAGUUCCGCACAGGGGGCUUUGCUGACUGUCUGCUCUAAAACUCUGUUGGCAAAACAGCUGUGGUCUCUCUUAGACUUUGAUUUUGUAGUAACUAGGGCAUAUAGUUGCUAUAAGCUUUCAGGAAUGGGGGUGGGUUACUAAUGUCUUAUGUUAUAUGAAAGUAGUUAAAUUUAUCCUAUAUUAAGAAGGAAGCAUUAUUGAGACUAUAUACUGUUGAUUUUACUAAAAACUCUAAGAUGUCCAUUUUAACAGGCAAACCUAGCACAGAAAACCAGCUGGAUUUUCCCUGUGCAUGGUUUGAAGAGUCAGUCCUACAUAAUUGCUGACACAAUGCAACCUGCAACUGCCCGGAGAAAGAACAGUUCACUAAAAUUUGUUGUAUUUAUCAUCCAAUUCUGUUCUGUAACUGGUAACACUAGUUUGUCUGGCUUUAGAGAAUAGGUGAAUCUCUAAAACAGUAGAAACAGCUCAGUUGGGCAAGGGCCGUUCUAGUAGCAUGCCUGCUCCUUGGAGUUUUCCAGAUUAUUUUGUAUAGCCUAUUCCAGAUUCUUGUCUAAGAUUGCUUUGCUCUGUGCACUCAGAAUUGGUGUGCCUUUCUAUUUGUGUAAAUGAUAUAUAAUACAUUGCUAGUUGUCUAGGAUCUAUUCAGGAAGUGCGUGCUGUGAAUUUUAAAGUAUGGGAAGAUUGUUAACAAGGGUUUCAAUGUUUUGUUUUUUUUUUUCUGGUAAGCUAAAAUAGAACAUUGUGAGGUACCUGGUUUAUUGUGGUUACAGACUUGGAAUAAUGUUCAUUGUUUUGUGCUAAUAAAUUGUGUUAAAAUUUGGUGUACAUAUGAGCAUUUUUAAAUAAAGUUAUUUUGUAGCACUGA
ensembl:lincRNA Mir17hg Mir17 host gene (non-protein coding)